AGAAAAUAGAUACCCAGGUAGUCCUAGCCGUAAACGGUGCUUGCUUGCUGUAAAACGGAAUCGACCCCUUUUGUGGCGAAAGCCAAACGCGAUAAGCAAGCCGCCUGGGAAGUACGGUCGCAAGAUUAAAACUCAAAGAAAUUGACGGGGGCCGUGCACAAGCGGUGGAGUAUGUGGCUUAAAUUCGAUGCAACGCGAAGAACCUUACCUGGCCUUGACAUGCAUAUAGUAGAAGGGUGAAAGCCUGACGAGGUAGCAAUACCAGUAUGCACAGGUGCUGCAUGGCUGUCGUCAGCUCGUGUCGUGAGAUG
rnacentral:rRNA from 1 species